UACGGAGGAUCCGAGCGUUAUCCGGAUUUAUUGGGUUUAAAGGGUGCGUAGGUGGAUUGGUAAGUCAGUGGUGAAAGUUUGCAGCUUAACUGUAAAAUUGCCGUUGAAACUGCCGGUCUUGAGUGCAAAUGAGGUAGGCGGAAUGCGUCGUGUAGCGGUGAAAUGCUUAGAUAUGACGCAGAACUCCGAUUGCGAAGGCAGCUUACUGGGAUGCAACUGACGCUGAGGCGCGAAAGUGUGGGGAGCAAACAGGAUUAGAUA
rnacentral:rRNA from 1 species